GACAGGGGGUGCAAACGUUGCUCGGAAUCACUGGGCGUAAAGGGCGUAUAGGCGGGAAGGAAAGUCGGGCGUGAAAUCCCUGGGCUCAACCCAGGAACUGCACUCGAAACUUCUUUUCUUGAGUGCCGGAGAGGAAAGCGGAAUACCUGGUGUAGAGGUGAAAUUCGUAGAUAUCAGGUGGAACACCAGUGGCGAAGGCGGCUUUCUGGACGGUAACUGACGCUGAGAACGCGAAAGCGUGGGGAGCGAACAGG
rnacentral:rRNA from 1 species